GAUUGACCUCGGAUCAGGUAGGGAUACCCGCUGAACUUAAGCAUAUCAAUAAGCGGAGGAAAAGAAACAACAGGGAUUGACUCACUAACGGCGAUGAACGGCAACAGCUCAAAUUUGAAAUCUGGGCUUGGGCCCCGAUUGUAAUUUGUAGAGGAUGUUUCGGGUGAGGCACCGUUCUAAGUUCCCUUGGAACAGGGCGUCAUAGAGGGUGAGAAUCCCGUACGUGACCGGUGACCGAUCUCAUGUGAAACUCCUUCGACGAGUCGAGUUGUUUGGGAAUGCAGCUCAAAAUGGGUGGUAAAUUUCAUCUAAAGCUAAAUACUGGCCAGAGACCGAUAGCGCACAAGUAGAGUGAUCGAAAGAUGAAAAGCACUUUGGAAAGAGAGUUAAACAGUACGUGAAAUUGUUGAAAGGGAAGCGCUUGCAGCCAGACUCGCUCGGGGGUAAUCAACCGUUCUUCUGAUCGGUGCACUUUCCCCCGGUCGGGCCAGCAUCGGUUCGGACGGUCAGAUAAAGGUUUUGGGAAUGUAGCUCCUCUCGGGGAGUGUUAUAGCCCAGGACGUAA
rnacentral:rRNA from 1 species